AUUCAACCGACGAGUCUCAAAUAGGACGAGACGCGCGUUCAGAAU
rnacentral:hammerhead_ribozyme from 1 species